rnacentral:lncRNA from 1 species
GUUGCUCUACUCAUGUUAAUCCCAUGUCCAUCCUAUGUCCAUCCCAUGUUGAUCCCGUGUCGCUUUGCUGCUCUACUCAUGUUAAUCCCAUGUAGAUCCCGUGUCGGUAUCAUGUUGAUCCCGUGUUGAUCCCAUGUUGAUCCCAUGUUGAUCCCAUGCAGAUUCCGUGUUGAUCCCGUGUUGGUAUCAUGUUGAUCCCAUGUUGAUCC